UAGCUUAGACUGUCCUGUCUCUCCUGACAGACGUGGUCAGACAGAUACGUGUCCUGACAGAUACGUGGUCAGACACCAGAAUGUGGUUUGCUCACCUGCUUGAUUUUAAUGCUUUGACAAAUAUGCUGUCUAGUAGCUCAACAUCUCAUAGAAAUUUCUGAUCAAUUAAAGUGCAACAGUGUGGAAGCAAUAAAAAUGAAGAUGUCGUUUUAUCCUUAGCUUAGAAUAAAAGGAAAUGCAUUUGAGGAAAAGGAUGAAAGAGAAAUAAGCUGUUUGAACACAGUCAGCAUAACUUUUAUGUAUAUAUAAAGUUGUCUGAUACUACUCCAUGAAGUAAGAAUAAAAGAACAAGUAGACAGGAAGAAUUUACAAAGUAGAAGAGGAGGAGCAGAAGAAUAAGAUUAUAUGUGCAGUAUCCAAGCCAUCAGCCAGAAAGGACCAUGAAUUUGGUUUAGAAGUGAGAAAUUGAAAAAUAAAAUCUUAAAAAACAAGGAGUGAAUAAA